rnacentral:rRNA from 1 species
UAUUUUUAUAGUAAAUUGGUUUAAAGUGGUCUACCUGAGUAUUAUGAAUUAUAUUUAAAAUUUAAAGGGCUUGGCGGUGUUUUAUACUUUUUAGGGGAACUUGUUUCGUAAUCGAUGGUCCACGUUUAACCUAGCCUUUAAAAAGAAAGAAUUCAUUGUUGUUCAGUAUGUAUACCGUCGUCGUCAGGUAACCUUAGAGAGUUAAGGAGUUAGCGGGGGAAUGAGGUUUUAUAGUUUAUUUGUGUUUGUACGUCAGAUCAAGGUGCAGCUUAUGUAAAGGGGUAGAUGAGUUACAAUUAUAUAAUGUAAUUAUGGAUGAGAAUUUGAAAUGGUUUUUUGAAGGUGGACUUAAAAGUAAAGUUAUUUGAGUAUGUAGAUAUCUUGAAUUUGGCUCUGAAGCGUGUACACACCGCCCGUCACCCUCA